rnacentral:rRNA from 1 species
UACGGAGGAUCCAAGCGUUACCCGGAUUCAUUGGGUUUAAAGGGUGCGUAGGCGGAAUGAUAAGUCAGUGGUGAAAGCCUGUUGCUUAACAACAGAACUGCCAUUGAUACUGUUAAUCUUGAGUACAUUUGAUGUGGGCGGAAUGUGUCAUGUAGCGGUGAAAUGCUUAGAUAUGACACAGAACACCGAUUGCGAAGGCAGCUCACAAAACUGUAACUGACGCUGAGGCACGAAGGCGUGGGUAGCAAACAGG